rnacentral:rRNA from 1 species
UACGUAGGCAGCAAGCGUUGUUCGGAAUUACUGGGCGUAAAGAGUGUGUAGGCGGUGCUCUAAGUUCGGUGUGAAAUCUCCCGGCUCAACUGGGAGGGUGCGCCGGAAACUGGGGGUGCUGGAGCGCGGGAGGGGGAAAGCGGAAUUCCUGGUGUAGCGGUGAAAUGCGUAGAUAAUCAGGAGGAACACCGGCGGUGUAGACGGCUU